AUGGGAGGAAUAGUAAACUCAUCGUUCUCACUCCCUCAAUCUCACUUCUCGUCACUCUCGCUUCUCUCCCGCUCACUCAAAAUCGCUCGUCCCUAAACCUUUACUCUCUCCGUCCUCAUUCAUCACCUCUCAGGCUCUCUCUCACAAUUUCACUUCACAAAAUCGUUCUCUCCAACUCACGUCUCUCACAUCAUAACCCUCUCUCAAACGUGCGUUUUUUCUUAAUCGCUUCCAAAUCAUAAAAGAAAUCAAUGGCUGAAGCAAAAAAAGCGCUCACCUCCGGCGGUAAAGACGGCAAUGGUGAAGCUUCCAACUCUUUCAACUCUUCAAACCAGGUUUAUCUUUGAUUCUCCGGUUUUGGGUUUUUUCUGUUUGGUAUCUUUUAAUGCUGCCUCCGAUUUUUUAGAAUUGUCGCCUUUUGAUUUCGUCUUCCCCUUUUAUCCUCACAGGCUAGGGUUUCGAAUUUGGUCUCUAGAGAUCAAAAGAGGUUCCUGCCAAAACACUUUUUUUGUGUUCAGUAUUGGAUUGUUCCUGUUUGAUGCUGCAAUUUGAAAAGUGAAAAAUUGAACAUCGGUUUCGUGUUUCUCACAGCCUUGUUGGUGUACUCGGUUUUGGGUGGCCCGUAAGAGGAUUCGUUGCUGCAGGAUAAUGAGUUUCCAGUUCAAGUCCCUCCUUGAUGUAGUUUUUCUGUGUUAAAAGUUGGUCAACAUAAACAAACACCGCUUCCUCUAGGUAAGUUUCAACAAACCUCCUAAAAGACCUUUUGUUUGAUGCGCAGCUUCCUUAACAACCUCGAGAAACCCCUUACAAGAUCAUAGCAGCGUAAGUUAUUGUUUAUCCUGAAUGGUUGCCAAGGAAAUUCGGUAUAGCAUGACAUCAGUGCUAUUGUCUCGGACGAUUUGAACUUGCUCUCCAAAUAUCCUGCAUAGAUCAACAGCAUCUGGGGUGUAUAGCUUCUCAUUUUUAGAACCAUUCAAUCUUUGAUUUGCUUCUGUAAAAACCUUUCAUUCCAUCAUUCAAUAUUCCUUCAAACUGAAUAUUCAAUACACCCAAUCCAAUAGGUACUAAUGGAUGCAGGACUAAUCCAUGGCCAUUUCCUUAAAGUGAGGCUUGUAAUACAAUUGUGCAUCCCCUGAACACCGGAAAUGCAGAAAAGUAUGAUGAGCACCCACAUAAACCAUGUUGUCAUGAAGAAGAAAAGCAGAACAAGAAAGGGCUAUGAUUGUUUUUACAAUUGCAGGAUUCACAACUUCCCAACUUUGCCCAUUUUGAAAGGCAUGUGCAAGCAUUGGAAGAAUGAGCAUUUGUAUUACAAUCACCGAUUGGUUAUGCCCAAGUUGCUUUGAUUGGAAAAGGUUGUAGCUUGUCUCGUUUUGUAGUGAUAAUGGUGUCUAGCUGGCUUGGUAUGUUUGCUGCUUCUUGAUGGAUUUUUGUCAAGUCAUCAACUUGAUAGUUUCACACGAGUUGAUAGGAUUUUGGUGACCACAUGAUGAACAAAAUUGCUUAUGGGGACUUUUUCUAUCAAGGACAGCAAAGCCUGCUGGCAGUAUUCAUCUUUAGAAAUUCUUUGAAGGUUGAAACUUUUUAGAUGGAGAUGUGUAAUUGCAUAGAACUUCUAAUACACCCUUGUCACGAUGACAUUGUUGCACUAUAACCAUCCUAGGUGGCGGUCUACCAAAGACUUUCACACCCUCCAUAAGCCCCCAUAUUCAUCAGGGUGGUGUUCAUUUGAGCAUUAGCAAACUCCGGAGAAUAAAUCACAACGAUGCUCUGAUGCUUGUUGAAAAAGAAAGCAAGCGGUUCUUGUGUGUGAAAUUCAUGGCCUUUUGAUUACUUUGUUUUGUAGGAACCUCCAUGGAAGGAAAAGUAACUUGGGAUAGAAGGAGAUGAUGAUACGAAAGCAUGAAGAUGGUGGAUGUUAAUGCUUAGGAAUUUGAAUUAAAUGUUAGAACCUUAUGUCAUGAGCUUGUAUUUUUUGAAUUUGAUUCAUAUGUAAGGUAUCAACAUGAUUAUGUACUUGGACCUUGAAUUUUGAAUUUGAAGUUGGUAAUUGAAUGGAAUGCUUGGAUUUGUAUACGAGUUAAUCAUUGUAAACAUGGGUGGGCUAUAGUUUGGAUGUAGUUUGGAACCAAAUCAAUGCAGUGUAAAGCAUGUAAGACAUGGUUGGAAUUGUAUGGAAAUGUGAAAUGGUGCAAAUGUACUUGAAAUGUUAUUUGUAAUUUGAUUUUGAAUGA